AUUGAACGCUGGCGGCAUGCCUUACACAUGCAAGUCGAACGGCAGCACGGGGGCUUUCACCUGGUGGCGAGCGGGGAGCGGGCGAGUAAUACAUCGGAAUAAGCUCUGUAGUAGGGGGUAGCCAGGCGAGAGAAGGGGUAAUAACGCCUGCGAACAACGUAUGAAAGCGGGGUACCUACGGACCGCGCGCUCUAGGGUUGGUUGAUGGCGGAUUAGCUAGUUGGUGGGGUAAAGGCCUACCAAGGCGACGAUCAGUAGCUGGUCUGAGAGGAUGACCAGCCACACUGGGACUGAGACACGGCCCAGACUCCUACGGGAGGCAGCAGUGGGGAAUUUUGGACAAUGGGCGAAAGCCUGAUCCAGCAAUGCCGCGUGUGUGAAGAAGGCCUUCGGGUUGUAAAGCACUUUUGUCAGGAAAGAAAACCUUGGUCCGAAUACGGGCGGGUGAUGACGGUACCUAAAGAAUAAGCACCGGCUAACUACGUG
rnacentral:rRNA from 1 species